GUGGGUGGAGGUGGGGCGAGUCUCCGGGUGGGUGUGAACCUGUGUGUGUGCGCAUGUGUCAGUGAUAGAGGGACUCCGUGUGUGUCAAUGUCAGUCUCUGUGUGUGAGCACGUGUGUGUGUGAUGGGAGUCUCUGUGUGGAUAAAUGUGUGUGAGUGUGUGCGAGUGUCUUGUGCGCGUGUGGGUUUCUGUGUCGUCUGUGUGUGUGUGUCCGGGUGUGUGAUUGUGACACGGGCUGACACGAGCCUGAAGCCACACCUUGAACCUCCAUCACCAGCCCCCGCAGUCCCGGAGGUGAAACAGAUCUGAUCCCCGCGGAGCCCGGCUCGGCUCCCCCCCCCCCAAGUCCCUGCCCCUCCCGGGGAUGCAUCAGGAACGGCGGGGAGGGAGGAGGGGGGAUCCCGGCGGCGCGCGAGGACCGAGGAGGGAGCGUGGGCCCCACGGGCUGCAGCCCCCGCGGUCCCCACCAGGGGGCGCUCCGGGGACGGCUGGUUAGAGCCUCGCGUUGGGUCGAUGGCGCUUCCCGAGCUCGCAGGUGCGCCGGGUGCGGCCGGAUUCAGCUCCGAAGUGGGGAGUGGGGGACACAACAGUGACAGCAAGAGCGACUAUAACUAUUAUUUAUACAUCUCUUCUUACUUACCACACGUGCAAUCAUUGUUUUAACGCAAGUUUAGGCGCUCUUCUUGUGAACAUUUUACAGACGGGGAAACUGAGUCAGGGUCACACAGCGCUGGAAUCGGACCCCAGGCGGUCCAGCGUGACUCGAAUCACGUCCAUGUGACCCCAGAGUCUGUGACUGGCCCCCCUCUUUGCUGUCUCCCCAAAGUCUGGGCAAGAGGAAAGCCAGAUGUGGAGGAGCGCGGGCCAGGCUGAGCUGGGGCAGAUCAGGAGGGGUCUGAGGCGCCUGGAUGGGCACAGUGCACCGUUCUGGGGCCCGCAGUGGUCUGUCCACAACGUCCUCUCGCCGCAAUCACGGUCUGGGGGUGGGGGCGGGUCUGGAAGCGACGGCCGCUGAUUAAUAACCUGAGUCAGACCGCAGCGCUGCGGGGCUCGCUGGGCGCCGGGCCCCCUCUAAGCGCGAGCGCGCCGCAGCCUCGCCCACCGUCCCGAAGACGCCGAGAGAACACGAUCCCCAUUUUCAGUCGCCGCCAGAGGGUGCACUGUGCGAACCGUCUCCAAAAUGUCACGAUCCGUUCUUCCCCUCCCUGCGUGCGCCUGUGCUGCUCCCAUCAGGAGCUCAGCCAAUGAGAAACGCCACAGCCCAGCCAAUGAGAAACGCCACAGCCCAGCCAAUGAGAAACAUCACAGCUCAGCCAAUGAGAAACGCCACACCUCAGCCAAUGAGAAACACUGCAGCUCAGCCAAUGAGAAACACUGCAGCUCAGCCAAUGAGAAGCUGUUGCUGCCCUGAAAUGCUACUUUCCCCUAAUGGACUUACAUUUAAAACAGCCCCGCCUGUCUCCCCAUUUUUUUCUACAAAGGCAGCUCCCCUCUUUUGUUUUCUGGAUUUGCCUAUGGUUCCCAUAGAAUGCACACCCUGCAUUGCGAUUCUUUUGGCUGUUCCCAAAUAAACUCAUUUUGAGAUAAAAUGGGCAAAUUUGCUUUUUAAUUUGACAGAACUAUCUGGACAUUUCUUGUCCAGUGGAGGCCCAUGAAGCAGCAGAGCCACCCGGCUCAACCCAGCACAGGCUGCAGAAUCAACAGGAAUAAUACACUAUCAUUGUUUUAAGCCACAAAGUUUUGGGGGCAAAACUUCCAUGAGGGCAGGAAUUUUUGUCUUUGUCCCUAUGCCCCAAGUACUAGAACAGGGCGUGGCACGCAGUAAGUGUUCAGUAAACAUUUGUUGCUCAGCCCAGUCUCCUCUCCUUACUAUUUAGUACAGGACACAUGGG
rnacentral:lncRNA from 1 species